UGGGGAAUAUUGGACAAUGGGCGAAAGCCUGAUCCAGCGACGCCGCGUGGGUGAAGAAGGCCUGCGGGUUGUAAAGCCCUUUCGUUGGGGAAGAAAAGUGUCGACCUAACACGUCGGCACCUUGACGUUACCCAAAGAAGAAGCACCGGCUAACUCUGUGCCAGCAGCCGCGGUAAUACAGAGGGUGCGAGCGUUAAUCGGAAUUACUGGGCGUAAAGCGCACGUAGAUGGUUUCGUAAGUCGGAUGUGAAAUCCCCGGGCUCAACCUGGGAACUGCAUUCGAAACUGCGUUGCUCGAGUGUGGAAGAGGGAAGCGGAAUUCCAGGUGUAGCGGUGAAAUGCGUAGAUAUCUGGAGGAACAUCAGUGGCGAAAGCGGCUUCCUUGUCCAACACUGACAUUCAGGUGCGAAGGCGUGGGGAGCAAACA
rnacentral:rRNA from 1 species